GAAGCGGCAACAGCUCAAAUUUGAAAUCUGGCCUCUUCGGGGUCCGAGUUGUAAUUUGUAGAGGGUGUUUCGGGCGCGAUGCCGGUCUAAGUUCCUUGGAACAGGACGUCGCAGAGGGUGAGAAUCCCGUAUGCGACCGGCGAUCAAGUCUGUGUGAAACCCCUUCGACGAGUCGAGUUGUUUGGGAAUGCAGCUCAAAAUGGGUGGUAAAUUUCAUCUAAAGCUAAAUAUUGGCCAGAGACCGAUAGCGGACAAGUAGAGUGAUCGAAAGAUGAAAAGCACUUUGGAAAGAGAGUCAAACAGUACGUGAAAUUGUUGAAAGGGAAGCGCUUGCAAUCAGACCGGUCCGGAGGCGAUCAGCCGUCUGCUCGUUCAGCGGUGCACUCGCCUGCGAUCCGGCCAGCAUCGGUUUGGGCGGUGGGAUAAAAGUCCCGGGAAUGUAGCUUCUCUUGGGGAGUCUUAUAGCCCGGGUCGCAAUGCCGCCCGCCUGGACCGAGGACCGCGCUUCGGCUAGGAUGCUGGCGUAAUGGUUGCAAGCG
rnacentral:rRNA from 1 species